rnacentral:rRNA from 1 species
GACGAACGCUGGCGGCGUGCUUAACCCAUGCAAGUCGAACGAAGUGGCGAACGGGUGAGUAACGCGUAAUCAACCUGCCCUUCAGCGGGGGACAACAGUUGGAAACGACUGCUAAUACCGCAUACUGAAGGAGGGGAUUGCGUCUGAUUAGCUAGUGGGAGGGGUAACGGCCCGACAAGGCGAUGAUCAGUCACCGGGCUGAGAGGAUGAACGGCCACAGUGGGCCGGAGACACGGCCCAGACUCCUACGGGAGGCAGCAGUGGGGAAACUGCCGCAAUGGACGAAAGUCUGACGGAGCAAGGACGCGUGAGUGAUGACGGCCUUCGGGUUGUAAAGCUCUGUUAAUCGGGACGCGGUACCGGAAUAGAAAGCCACGGCUAACUACGUGCCAGCCGCCGCGGUAAUUC